rnacentral:rRNA from 1 species
GAUGAACGCUGGCGGUCUGCUUAACACAUGCAAGUCGAACGGAAUCCUUAGGGAUUUAGUGGCGGACGGGUGAGUAACACGUAAGAACCUGCCUCUAGGACGGGGACAACAGUUGGAAACGACUGCUAAACCCGGAUGAGCCGAAAGGUAAAAGAUUUAUCGCCUAGAGAGGGGCUUGCGUCUGAUUAGCUAGUUGGUAGGGUAAAGGCUUACCAAGGCGACGAUCAGUAGCUGGUCUGAGAGGAUGAUCAGCCACACUGGGACUGAGACACGGCCCAGACUCCUACGGGAGGCAGCAGUGGGGAAUUUUCCGCAAUGGGCGUAAGCCUGACGGAGCAAGACCGCGUGGGGGAGGAAGGUUCUUGGAUUGUCAACCCCUUUUCUCAGGGAAGAACGCAAUGACGGUACCUGAGGAAAAAGCAUCGGCUAACUCCGUGCCAGCCGCCGCGGUAACAC